AGUCAGUAGCUAUGCUCUUGGCCAAAGUAAGAAUGAAGAGAAGGUCACAUUGUCUGGAACUCCAGAUGGGCCUCUUGUGGUGUUAGCUUUUAAAUUGGAGGAAGGGUGCUUUGGUCAGUUGACAUAUCUGAGAUUCCUCGCUUGGUUUGGAUGCAUUCUGAUGAGAUGGAGGUUAGUUUUGCUUUGACAUUCAUCUUAGUAAUUAAUUCUAAUGAUAUGAUUGGGAUUUUUUUAUACAUGAAAUCAAAUUUUGCGAACCAACUAUCUCUACAAUGUCUUCUACUUGUCCCCAUGCUGUGGCUUAGGUGGUAAAGGGG